rnacentral:lncRNA from 1 species
UCCUUCUAUCAUGAGUUCCGACUUGACGGAGAUCAUGGAGAACUCAUCAAACCCUAUCAUUAGUCAUAUGCUAGAUUGGUUCGACUCGAAUUUAUUUGUGAAUCUCGUAAAAACUCUUUUUUAGUAUUCAUAUUUGCUUUGAUCAAAGACUUUCUGAACUCACUUUCGCAAAUCACAUAGAACUUCUCCUUUUCUACGAAGAUCGAUAGAUUCCAUCUAGGUACAUCCUACUCGAAACAGCAAACUUAAACCUUCUAAAGCCAACAUACACAGCAAGGAUCCGAAUGACUAGGGAUCAAGAGAACAUGCAGUCAAACCCAGUAGCCUCGCUGUGAAUAGUCAAUGGCACCACAAGUCAAAGGAACACUCAUACCACUACAGCAUCGAGAAGAUCACCAAUGAGUGAGUAGACAUCCAUAUGGUUCUCAUGUUGGUCAUACUCAAUGUAAGUUAUUCUCUAACAACCAUCUGCAUCUUCACCUCAGUGUCUCUACACCAC